AAGUCGUAACAAGGUCUCCGUUGGUGAACCAGCGGAGGGAUCAUUACCGAGUUUCUAACUCCCAAACCCCUGUGAACAUACCUAUUGUUGCUUCGGCGGGAUCGUCCCCGGCUCCCCUGGGCGCCGGAUCAGGCCCCCGCCGCAAGACCCAAAACUCUGUUUUUAUAGUUAUUCUUCUGAGUGGCUUUAAGCAAAAUAAAUUAAAA
rnacentral:misc_RNA from 1 species